ensembl:snRNA U1 U1 spliceosomal RNA
AUAUUUACCUGGCAGGGGAGAUACCAUGAUCACGAAGGUGGUUUCCCCAGGGCGAGGCUUAUCCAUUGCGCUACGGAUGUGCUGACCCCUGCGAUUUCCCCAAAUGUGGGAAACUUGACUGCAUAAUUUGUGGUAGUGGGGGACUGCAUUGGCGCUCUCCCCUG